GUUGUAUGGUUAAGUGACUAAGCGUACACGGUGGAUGCCUUGGCAGUCAGAGGCGAUGAAGGACGUAGUAACUUGCGAUAAGCGUAGAUGAGGCAGUAACAGCCACUUGAGUCUACGAUUUCCGAAUGGGGAAACCCACUGGCAUAAGCCAGUAUCAUUGAGUGAAUACAUAGCUCAAUGAAGCGAACCGGGAGAACUGAAACAUCUAAGUACCCCGAGGAAAAGAAAUCAACCGAGAUUCCGAAAGUAGCGGCGAGCGAAAUUGGAUUAGCCCUUAAGCUUUACAUGUGUUAGACGAACGGUCUGGAAAGUCCGACGAUACAGGGUGAUAGUCCCGUAGUUGUAGACGCAUGUUCAGUGAAAUCGAGUAGGGCGGGACACGUGUUAUCCUGUCUGAAUAUGGGGGGACCAUCCUCCAAGGCUAAAUACUCCUGACUGACCGAUAGUGAACCAGUACCGUGAGGGAAAGGCGAAAAGAACCCCUGUGAGGGGAGUGAAAUAGAACCUGAAACCGUGUACGUACAAGCAGUAGGAGCACCUUCGUGGUGUGACUGCGUACCUUUUGUAUAAUGGGUCAGCGACUUAUAUUCAGUGGCAAGGUUAACCAUCUAGGGGAGCCGUAGGGAAACCGAGUCUUAACUGGGCGCCAUAGUCUCUGGAUAUAGACCCGAAACCGAGUGAUCUAGCCAUGGGCAGGUUGAAGGUUGAGUAACAUCAACUGGAGGACCGAACCGACUAAUGUUGAAAAAUUAGCGGAUGACUUGUGGCUAGGGGUGAAAGGCCAAUCAAACUCGGAGAUAGCUGGUUCUCCCCGAAAGCUAUUUAGGUAGCGCCUCGGACGAAUACUACUGGGGGUAGAGCACUGUUAAGGCUAGGGGGUCAUCCCGACUUACCAACCCUUUGCAAACUCCGAAUACCAGUAAGUACUAUCCGGGAGACACACGGCGGGUGCUAACGUCCGUCGUGGAGAGGGAAACAACCCAGACCGCCAGCUAAGGUCCCAAAUUACAGCUAAGUGGGAAACGAUGUGGGAAGGCUUAGACAGCUAGGAUGUUGGCUUAGAAGCAGCCAUCAUUUAAAGAAAGCGUAAUAGCUCACUAGUCGAGUCGGCCUGCGCGGAAGAUGUAACGGGGCUAAGUUGUAAACCGAAGCUGCGGCAAUGUUCUUUGAACAUUGGGUAGGGGAGCGUUCUGUAAGCCGUUGAAGGUGUGUUGUAAAGCAUGCUGGAGGUAUCAGAAGUGCGAAUGCUGACAUGAGUAACGACAAGGGGGGUGAAAAACCUCCCCGCCGGAAGACCAAGGGUUCCUGUCCAACGUUAAUCGGGGCAGGGUAAGUCGACCCCUAAGGCGAGGCCGAAAGGCGUAGUCGAUGGGAAACGGGUUAAUAUUCCCGUACUUCUUACAAUUGCGAUGGGGGGACGGAGAAGGCUAGGUGGGCCUGGCGACGGUUGUCCAGGUUCAAGUGCGUAGGCU
rnacentral:rRNA from 1 species